UACGGAGGGUGCAAACGUUGCUCGGAAUCAUUGGGCGUAAAGCGCACGUAGGCGGCCCGCUAAGUCGGAUGUGAAAUCCCUCGGCUCAACCGAGGACGUGCAUUCGAUACUGGCAGGCUUGAAUAUGGAAGAGGGUCGCGGAAUUCCCGGUGUAGAGGUGAAAUUCGUAGAUAUCGGGAGGAACACCAGUGGCGAAGGCGGCGACCGGGGCCAAUAUUGACGCUGAGGUGCGAAAGCGUGGGGAGCAAACAGG
rnacentral:rRNA from 1 species